AUUGAACGCUGGCGGCAGGCCUAACACAUGCAAGUCGAGCGGAUGAAGGGAGCUUGCUCCUGGAUUCAGCGGCGGACGGGUGAGUAAUGCCUAGGAAUCUGCCUGGUAGUGGGGGAUAACGUCCGGAAACGGGCGCUAAUACCGCAUACGUCCUGAGGGAGAAAGUGGGGGAUCUUCGGACCUCACGCUAUCAGAUGAGCCUAGGUCGGAUUAGCUAGUUGUUGGGGUAAAGGCCUACCAAGGCGACGAUCCGUAACUGGUCUGAGAGGAUGAUCAGUCACACUGGAACUGAGACACGGUCCAGACUCCUACGGGAGGCAGCAGUGGGGAAUAUUGGAAAAUGGGCGAAAGCAUGAUCCAGCCAUGCCGCGUGUGUGAAGAAGGUCUUCGGAUUGUAAAGCACUUUAAGUUGGGAGGAAGGGCAGUAAGUUAAUACCUUGCUGUUUUGACGUUACCAACAGAAUAAGCACCGGCUAACUUCGUG
rnacentral:rRNA from 1 species